rnacentral:rRNA from 1 species
GGUUGAUCCUGCCAGUAGUCAUAUGCUUGUCCUAAAGAUUAAGCCAUGCAUGUGUACGUUCAAGCCCUUGUACGGUGAAACUGCGGAUGGCUCAUUAUAUCAGUGAUAAUUUGGUUGGUGGAGAAUGCUGUGGAUAACCGUGGUAAUUCUAGAGCUAAUACAUGUGGAGCAGACGCAAGUCUGGCAUUUAUUAGAUAAAGCCUUGGCGGGGGGGGGUGUAUUCUCUUCCCUGCGCAGGUGAGUAAUGAUAACUGGGCGGAUCGCAAACUAUUUGCGACGCACCAAGGAAAUUU